CGAAGCCAUGCAUGUCUAAGUAAGCUGAAAUAAAGUGAAACCGCGAAUGGCUCAUUAAAUCACACUUUAUAUACUGGACAGUACACAGUUACUUGGAUAACUGCGGUAAUUCUGGAGCUAAUACAUGCAUUAAAGCCUCGCUUGCUCUGCAAGAGAGGUGCGUAUAUUAGAUCAAGACCAAACGGUUCUGCCGUGUUUGGUGACUCUGGAUAAAUUUGGCUGAUCGCAUGGCUUUAUGCCGGCGACGUGUCCAUCUAAAGUGUGCCCUAUCAACUGUCGACUGUGGCAUAGACGCCCACAGUGGUUGUGACGGGUAACGGGGAAUCAGGGUUCGAUUCCGGAGAGGGAGCCUGAGAAACGGCUACCACUUCUAAGGGAGGCAGCAGGCACGCAAAUUACCCAAUGGCCGAUGGCCGAGGUAGUGACGAAAAAUAACGAUGCUGGACUCUUUUGAGGCCCAGCAAUCGGAAUGAGUACAACUCAAAUCCUUUAACGAGGAUCAAUUGGAGGGCAAGUCUGGUGCCAGCAGCCGCGGUAAUUCCAGCUCCAAUAGCGUAUAUUAAAGUUGUUGUCGUUAAAAAGCUCGUAGUUGGAUCUUGGCGAGAAGAGGCUGGCACGUUGUUAUGACGUUGUCGGUCUAUAACCUCGCGUUGAUUGGCGGAGGUUCGUAGGUGCUCUUAAUCGAGUGUUUGCGGAUGCUGUCAGUUUUACUUUGAAAAAAUUAGAGUGCUCAAAGCAGGCUUGAUACGCUUGAAUAUUUGUGCAUGGAAUAAUGGAAUAGGACGUCGUUCCUAUUUUGUUGGUUUUCGGGAACCGACGUAUUGAUUAACAGGGACAGUCGGGGGCAUUGGUAUUCAGGCGUCAAAAGUGGAAUUCUUGGACCGUCUGAAGACUAACAACUGCGAAAGCAUUUGCCAAGAAUGUUUUCAUUAAUCAAGAACGAAAGUUAGAGGUUCGAAGGCAAUCAGAUACCGCUGUAGUUCUAACCAUAAACGAUGCCAGCUAGCGAUCUGCAGAUGUUGUUGUUGAAAACAUUGCAGGCAGCUCCCGGGAAACCCAAGCGUACGGGUUCGAGGGGGAGUAUGGUUGCAAAAUUGAAACUUAAAGGAAUUGACGGAAAGGCACCACCAGGAGUGGAGCCUGCGGCUUAAUUUGACUCAACACGGGAAAUCUCACCAGGUCCGGACACUAGAAGGAUUGACAGAUUGAUAGCUCUUUCUCGAUUCAGUGGAUUGUGGUGCAUGGCCGUUCUUAGUUGGUGGAGUGAUUUGUCUGGUUAAUUCCGAUAACGAACGAGACUCUGUCCUACUAAAUAGUUGUUUCAUUGCUUUGCAAUGUUCCAACUUCUUAGAGGGACUGGCAGCGUUUAGCUGCACGAGAAAGAGCAAUAACAGGUCUGUGAUGCCCGAAGAUGUUCUGGGCCGCACGCGCGCUACACUGAAGGAUUCAGCGAGUUCUCCUUUUCCGAGAGGAACGGGUAAACUUGAAACUCCUUCGUGGUAGGAAUCGGGGCUUGCAAUUUCCCCGUGAACCAGGAAUUCCCAGUAAGUGCACGUCAUAAGCGUGCACUGACUACGUCCCUGCCUUUUGUACACACCGCCCGUCGCUACUACCGAUCGGAUGUUUUAGUGAGGCAUUUGGAUCGAUGCUUUUUUUGCAUUUUGCAGAGAUUGCGUUGAGAAGAUUACCAAACU
rnacentral:rRNA from 1 species